ensembl:misc_RNA Y_RNA Y RNA
GACUGCUUUGAAGGUAGUGAGUUAUUUCAAUUAUUGUUCAGUUAGAAUGCCUUGUUACUACUCUUUCCUUCCUUCUCACAACUGCACCUGACUAGUCUUAA